rnacentral:rRNA from 1 species
UACCCGCUGGAACUUAAGCAUAUCCAAUAAGCGGAGGAAAAGAAACCAACAGGGAUUGCCUCAGUAACGGCGAGUGAAGCGGCAACAGCUCAAAUUUGAAAUCUGGCCCCGACGGGGUCCGAGUUGUAAUUUGUAGAGAGUGUUUCGGGUGAGACCACGGUCUAAGUCCAUUGGAACAUGGCGUCAUAGAGGGUGAGAAUCCCGUAUGUGACUGUGGCUCGAGCCCAUGUGAAGCCUCUUCGACGAGUCGAGUUGUUUGGGAAUGCAGCUCAAAAUGGGUGGUAAAUUUCAUCUAAAGCUAAAUACUGGCUGGAGACCGAUAGCGCACAAGUAGAGUGAUCGAAAGAUGAAAAGCACUUUGGAAAGAGAGUCAAAAAGUACGUGAAAUUGUUGAAAGGGAAGCGCUUGCAACCAGACCUGUCCGUAGGUGAUCAGCCGCUGUUCUCAGCGGUGCACUCGCUCUGCGAUCAGGCCAGCAUCGGUUCCGGCGGUCGGACAAAGGCCCUGGGAAUGUAGCUUCCUUCGGGGAGUCUUAUAGCCCUCGGUGCAAUGCGGCCAGCCGGGACCGAGGACCGCGCUUCGGCUAGGAUGCUGGCGUAAUGGUUGUAAGCGACCCGUCUUGAAACACGGACCAAGGAGUCUAACAUCUAUGCGAGUGUUUGGGUGUUAAACCCAUGCGCGGAAUGAAAGUGAACGGAGGUGAGAACCCUUUAGGGCGCAUCAUCGACCGAUCCAGAUGUCUUCGGAUGGAUUUGAGUAUGAGCAUAGCUGUUGGGACCCGAAAGAUGGUGAACUAUGCCUGAAUAGGGUGAAGCCAGAGGAAACUCUGGUGGAGGCUCGCAGCGGUU